rnacentral:ncRNA from 1 species
GAAAAGUUUGAAUCUGGCUUUCAUUCUGUUUUAAAUUAAAUCUAUAUAUAAUUAUUAAAUUUUAAGAUUAUUUUGAGGUAUGUAGUAGAUAAUUUUAGGAAACAAUUUAUUUGGGCCUAGUUAAAUUUAUAAGAUUGACUAAAAUCGUGCCAGCCGUCGCGGUUAGACGAAGAAUCUAAAUAGAAUAUUUUAUUUUUUAAUUAACAGUUAAUAACCCAGAGUAAACUUUCUUCUUUUUUUAGGUGAAAUUUUUACAAAGAAAAAGAAAGUCUUAAUUUAUUGUAAGGAAUUAAAAAGUGAAGAUAAAAAACCAGGAUUAGAUACCCUGUUAUUCUUCAUCAUAUUUAAUAGGGUAGUAAAAGUUGUUCUUCAAACCCAAAGAUUUUGGCGGCAUUUUAACUAAACAGAGGAGCUUGUCUUAUAAUCGAUAACCCCCGUUAAAUCUUACCUUUAUUUGUCUAGCUUGUAUACCUCCGUUGUCAGAUUACUCUAAAAGGAUGUUUUCUGUAAGAAUUAUUUUCUUACUUCAGGUCAAGGUGCAGUUUAUGUAAAGGCAUAGAUGAGCUACAAUUUUUAUAAAAAUACGAAUCUUAAAUUAAAAUUUGAUUGAAGGUGGAUUUGUUAGUAAACUUGUUUAAGGAAAAUAGGUUGAAUAUAGCAAUAGAAUGUGCACAUAUCGCCCGUCACUCUCCUUUUAAGAGGAGAUAAGUCGUAACAAAGUAGAUGUACUGGAAAGUGUCUCUAGAAAGUA